rnacentral:tRNA from 1 species
GGAGAGGUGGCUGAGCGGUUGAAAGCGGCGGUCUUGAAAACCGUUAUCCCCGCAAGGGGAUCUAGAGUUCGAAUCUCUACCUCUCCG